CGUUCAUUGCUUCUCAUAUGUCGUGGACCAGGGCUAAAAGGACCACCUUGAUUCCACCAUCCCUGCAACACACAGAGCUCACAGCCUAAGAAAACGAAGGACCAGAGGCACACACUUCAACAAGCAGUGACAGUCACAUGGUGAUCACCUUGAGAUCUGGGCCUGGGAAUGGGAUCUCAGAGAGGAACAUACCUGAAUCUGUGGUUGCUUGGAACCCAGACUGGUCCAGCACAGUUACAGUUGAUCAACAGGCCUGUGAAUGAGAAGAUCUACAACUGAGUUGGCAGAAGGGAAGAUAGAUGGAUAUCUAAACAAAAUCUCCACCAAGGAAAAGCAAGAAUGGCUGCUGAAUAACCAAUUCACCAUAGCUACCUAAAAUAGUCACGUGAAAAAUGUUCUUGAUUGGGUCUCCAUAAUCAAAGACUGAUUAACAAGAAAACAACAACAACCUACAAAUUGAUGUAAGUUUUAUGUGACACAGCAGCUUUCAUAAAGGAAAGAAGAUCAGGGGAAAAGAUGAAGCCUAAGUGAUUCCAUGCUCAGUUUGAUGAACAGUGGAAAACUGUGGGGAAGGUUACGUCUGAUAACAAGACAUGUUCAGCGAUGCAUAUGACAGGUGAAGCAAGUCCAUUACGUGGAUCUCAUGUGGAAAAUCGUGAAGGGGGGAUGGCAGCCUUUAUAACGGUGCUGAAGCUACGGAAAAAUUAUAAUAAAUCCCAUUUGCAAAA